GCACUAAACAAAUACCAAGGGGGUUCUUUAUCAGAGAUAUACCCCAAAGCAGUUAGGUGACACCAAGAAAAUCAUUUCUCCUUCCUAGGCCUGAGAUUCUUCAUCCAAAAACUGAGAAGAGUAAAUGAGAUGACCUCUAAGUUUCUAGGAUUUCAUGUACACACAUCAAUUUAUACAUCAUGAUGUAGGUAGAUAGGAAGGCUAUACUUCCCGGGCCCAUGAUGCUAGGCUUGGUCAUGUGACUUGCUUAAAGCAAAAGUGAUACAUGUAUCUUCUAAGAGUCAACCCACAUGUCUGUCAGUCACCUCUUUCUUCCUCUGCCAUAAGAAUGGCAAUGUCCUAAAAAGGAGUUGUUCCUUUCGCUUGGAUCCUGGAGUAAAGAUGACACAGAGCAGAGUCAUGGCCAAUCAACAGCUGACAUUAAUCAAAUGAGAAAAAUACCUUUGCUCUUGUCACUACA